ensembl:piRNA 21ur-3652 ncRNA
UUGCAGCCCAAAUCAUCACAC